rnacentral:rRNA from 1 species
UACGUAGGGUGCGAGCGUUAAUCGGAAUUACUGGGCGUAAAGCGUGCGCAGGCGGUUUUUUAAGCCAGAUGUGAAAGCCCCGGGCUUAACCUGGGAAUGGCAUUUGGGACUGGAAGGCUAGAGUGCGGCAGAGGGGGGUGGAAUUCCUGGUGUAGCAGUGAAAUGCGUAGAUAUCAGGAGGAACACCGAUGGCGAAGGCAGCCCCCUGGGCCAGCACUGACGCUCAUGCACGAAAGCGUGGGGAGCAAACAGG